rnacentral:tRNA from 1 species
AAGUUAUAAACUUUAUAGAUAAGUUUAUGUCUUGAAAUCAUAAUAAAAGGGUUAAAAUCCCUUAAUAACUUU